GCUUGUGACCAGACCACCCUGAACAUGCCUGAUCUUGUCUGAUCUCGGUAGCUAAGCAGGGUCGGGCCUGGUUAGUACUUGGAUGGGAGACCGCCUGGCAAUACCAGGUACUGUAAGCU
rnacentral:rRNA from 1 species